UACGUAGGGUGCGAGCGUUGUCCGGAAUUACUGGGCGUAAAGAGCUCGUAGGUGGUUUGUCGCGUUGUUCGUGAAAACCGGGGGCUUAACCCUCGGCGUGCGGGCGAUACGGGCAGGCUGGAGUACUGCAGGGGAGACUGGAACUCCUGGUGUAGCGGUGGAAUGCGCAGAUAUCAGGAGGAACACCGGUGGCGAAGGCGGGUCUCUGGGCAGUAACUGACGCUGAGGAGCGAAAGCGUGGGGAGCGAACAGG
rnacentral:rRNA from 1 species